ACACUUCGCUAUCCUCUCCGCGCCAGACCCUUGAUCUCCUCCCACCCCUACUUUCCAGACGUCCCCCUCUCGAGCCCUGGAGCGACAGGUGUCCAGGGGCGGGCGUCAGCUUUUCUAAGCUCUAGCUUAGUUUCUAAGUUCUAGCUCUUCUUCUUCGCCUCCCUGGUGCCUCAAUCUAGCCUUGGGGCUCCGGCCGGCCUUCCCUGUCUCCCUAGGGCUCCCACCAGGCUCUGGACGCGCGCUGGACCUGGGGCAGUUGCGAUUCCUGCAGCCCUAGAGACAAGUCGGAGCGCUUGGGGCGGUGCGAUCCUGCUGGGGGCUGGGCGGGGCCGAGGGAGGGGACGCACGUGCGUGGCUUUGACAAUGGUGUUUGUGAGUGCUGGAGGCACCUUCCCCCUCUCCCUACCCCACAGCCCACACCCCAGCACCUGGGGCUUCGGAAGCUGGAGACCUUCUCCUUGGAGGGUGGAGUGGGGUGGGGACGGUCAGCUAGCUGGAAUAUGUGGCCUGGGCAGAGACCGCCCCUGGAAUUUCAGCAGGCAUCAGCUACCGGAAUUGAAUACAGACUCUGGCUGGCUCUGACCAUUGCUUUAAAAACUCGUUUUUCUUGCUGCGAUUGUGGGAUUGUCACUGGGUCCUUUAUUUCGUUGGUAUCGGGACCUCGAAAACAUAUCAGAGAAGAGACUGACACCCAUGCCUGACUCGCUUGAGG